AUUCAGAUAAAAUUGAAGAUAAAGCUGCUGCUGCAAAACGGCUUGAGUUUCAGCUUGGAUGGUAGUUCGUCUUGGACUUUUUCGGAUGAGAUUCUGUUAUGUCAAUUGGUUUCUGAGCUAUUUAUAACUCACUGAAUUGUCCGUAUGCACACAUAUUCAUAUUUUCUGUUUGUUUGUGCCCUGGAGUUUUCAAGGGUCCAGGGGAAGGGUUGGGUUGGAGUUGCCUUUGCUGAGGGAAGGGACAUAAAGAUGAGGAGCCAUCAAAUAAUUCUUGAACCUCUUUGUUUUUUAGUUUAGUAAUUUAAACUGAAAACAGGUUACAUCAUUGGACUCUGUAUGGCUCUAGGCCACUUUUAUCAUAAGCCAUAUCAUUUAGUCUAGCGGGUGAGAGAAUCAUGAAAUAUAACAAUGAAAAUGCAAUACCAAAUUUUAUACCUCACAUUGGUUAUUUAACUCCACCCAUAACAAAGACAUGCUCUGAUGUUGUUCAACCCAAAGGCAGGUAGCAUGCAAAUGCCUGGAAAAUAUUUUUAGAUCAUCUCCAGUCCCUUAAUGAUUUCUCUUUAUUAUUCUUCUGUUACUCUUUCCAAUACAGGUAUUUGCAUCCUUUAUAUUAUGGAGACUAUCCUGAAGUUAUGCGUAAAAUACUGGGAGAUGGGCUCCCAAAAUUCUCAGAGGAAGAUAAGGAAUUACUUAGGAACUCACUUGACUUCAUUGGUCUAAAUCACUAUUCUUCAAGAUUCAUUAAGCAUGUUACAGAUAGCCCUGCAGAAUGCUAUUACUAUAAAGCCCAAGAAAUUGAGAGACUUGCUAAAUGGGAAGAUGGUGAGCCAAUCGGCGAGAGGGCAGCAUCAGAAUGGCUCUAUGUUUGUCCUUGGGGACUUCGGAAGGUUCUCAAUUACAUAGUCCAGAGAUACAAUAAUCCCAUAAUUUAUGUUACUGAGAAUGGUAUGGAUGAUGAAGACUCCAGUGCCCCUCUCCAUGAAAUGCUAGAUGACAAACUGAGAGUUAGCUAUUUUAAAGGAUACCUUGCUGCAGUUGCUCAGGCAAUCAAAGACGGAGCAGAUGUGAGGGGAUAUUUUGCAUGGUCAUUGUUGGACAAUUUUGAAUGGGCUCAAGGUUAUACCAAGCGUUUUGGUUUGAUCUAUGUGGAUUACAAGAAUGGACUUGCUCGCCACCCAAAGUCUUCUGCUUAUUGGUUCAUGAGGUUCUUGAAAGGUGAUGAAGGGAAAAAUGGCAAAGAGUGACUCACUUGUACUGUAACAGGAAGCCCAGUUCUGAUUUUCAGUUUGUUUUCAUUAUAUUACCUGAUAAUUGGCCAAGUAUUGUACUUUUGGCAGAAGGGUUUUGUACUUUUAUCUCUCCCCCUUUGUUAUAAUGAGACAAAUUCCGUAUGUCUCUUUGUUGGGUAAGACAAAUUAAUAAGACUACUCACCCUCUAAAUAGAGUGACUUUAUUGUAUCCUAGUCUUCAAGUUUUUGAAAGAGCCCCUAAGCUUGUUAGUUCCUGUUCUAUAUUGUCAUAUUUCUCAAUAUUUUUUCAUUUAGCAUUUUAUGUCCCAAGUCUGGUUCUAAAUUUAGGGCCUAAGUUGGCGUAUCGAAG
rnacentral:misc_RNA from 1 species